GAUUUAAGCAACGCCUGGCUUCGGGAUUUCACUUGUUUUUCGCGCUCUUGUAAAAAAGCAAUUGGUUACUGCCAUACCAGCUGCAAGUGUGCCUUCACCCUGCACUUGUCUGAAGUCCAUCUGCAUCAGUCAUUACAGGUUAUAGGCAUCAUUUCAAAACAAGAUGGCCAGCACUCUCCAGUGUGCGUGAGGUGUGUGCAAAAUUCAAAAGGAUCACUACAGUCCAUUUGCAGUCUAAGUUUUUCUCCCAGCUGGAUGUUCACUCUGCAAAUCUAAUCAAGGCAUAUAGUAAGAAGGGUGGAUUUAUAGGAAGGAGACUCAAAAGCAUCAUGACACCCAUGACCCAGGUAUUGAGUUUUAAAAAUAAGACACAUGCUCACAGUAAUGUCUUUUUUGCUUUGAUUAGGGAGAUGAUUUGAUGACAUUCUUACUUACUGACAUUGCUCUAUAUGGUAUUAGGAGAAAAGCCACACAUCAUGUGUGAGUUGCCAUGAUCAAAGUUUAGAAGCUGCCCUAAAUGUUACCUUCACAAAAUCUCUUGAUUUAGAGAUAAACUACACAUGCUGUCUGUGUCUCAAGUCAAGUCAUACUUGCACAAGCCAGAUCUUUUUUUUACAAAACAUGUAUGUCUAAACAUAUUGUAGAUCUUAAUUUAAUUUCUAUGGGGAAGAAACAAGCGGCAUGGUUCUUUUUCCAGAAAUGGUAUCCUUGAUAGGCCAUAUUUCUUUCUGUUAUAUUACAAUUAGUUAUAUUAUUUCAUUUUGCACUUCCAUGUAGAAAUUCACGUGCUUAUUCUCUGAUUUGCAGAACAAUAGCAUUGAUAUUGAACGUGAAUGCGUCCUAAAGGGACUUUGUGUGUACUUGAAUGAAGAUCCGGAGAAGCUGGUAAAGGAAUACGUGGUAUAUUGUUAUACCUUUUAGCUUCAGUAAGGGAAUAGUCUCUGUGAUAAUUUAAGGGUGUUCCUUGUGGGUCAGUUUUAAAUAUGUAUAAGAGAGGCAUUUCAAAGAUCUGGUUAUAUUUUGUGAUAAUUUAACUCUUAGCUGUUGUACAUUAAUAUGUUUAUAACGUUAUGAAAAGGGAUUUAAUUAAGGGAUGAGGUGGGAUGUAAUUAACAUCAGGGUUUAAAUGCACUGAUUAUUUU